rnacentral:lncRNA from 1 species
CCAGUUUUCAAUUUCUUGUUGGUUGGCAUUGAAAUUUCCACAUAUAUCAUCUACAACGAAUACUGUUUGCUUACCAUGCUUAUAAUAUGUAUUGAUAUCAUCUGGCUUUCUUAUUGGUAUUAUUUGGUAUCCUUCCUCCUGUAAUAGCAAUGCUGUAUGUCUAGCAAUGAAAGUUUUUCCAACUCCGGCACAGCCAGUCAAGGUCACACAAUUGUUAUCUUUUAAGCUUA